rnacentral:rRNA from 1 species
GAUGAACGCUGGCGGCGUGCCUAAUACAUGCCAGUCGAGCGAACAGAUAAGGAGCUUGCUCCUUUGACGUUAGCGGCGGACGGGUGAGUAACACGUGGGUAACCUACCUAUAAGACUCGGAUAACUUCGGGAAACCGGAGCUAAUACCGGAUAAUAUUUCGAACCGCAUGGUUCGAUAGUGAAAGAUGGUUUUUCUAUCACUUAUAGAUGGACCCGCGCCGUAUUAGCUAGUUGGUAAGGUAACGGCUUACCAAGGCGACGAUACGUAGCCGACCUGAGAGGGUGAUCGGCCACAAUGGAACUGAGACACGGUCCAGACUCCUACGGGAGGCAGCAGUAGGGAAUCUUCCGCAAUGGGCGAAAGCCUGACGGAGCAACGCCGAGUGAGUGAUGAAGGUCUUCGGAUCGUAAAACUCUGUUAUUAGGGAAGAACAUACGUGUAAGUAACUGUGCACGUCUUGACGGUACCUAAUCAGAAAGCCACGGCUAACUACGUG